GGUAAGGCCCUUCGGGGUACACGAGCGGCGAACGGGUGAGUAACACGAGGGUGAUCUGCCUCGCACUUCGGGAUAAGCCUGGGAAACUGGGUCUAAUACCGGAUAUGACCUUUCAGUGCAUGCUGUUGGGUGGAAAGAUUUAUCGGUGCGAGAUGGGCCCGCGGCCUAUCAGCUUGUUGGCGGGGUAACGGCCCACCAAGGCGACGACGGGUAGCCGACCUGAGAGGGUGACCGGCCACACUGGGACUGAGACACGGCCCAGACUCCUACGGGAGGCAGCAGUGGGGAAUAUUGCACAAUGGGCGGAAGCCUGAUGCAGCGACGCCGCGUGAGGGAUGACGGCCUUCGGGUUGUAAACCUCUUUCGACAGGGACGAAGCGCAAGUGACGGUACCUGUAGAAGAAGCACCGGCCAACUACGUGCCAGCAGCCGCGGUAAUACGUAGGGUGCGAGCGUUGUCCGGAAUUACUGGGCGUAAAGAGCUUGUAGGCGGUUUGUCGCGUCGUCCGUGAAAACUUGGGGCUCAACCCCAAGCUUGCGGGCGAUACGGGCAGACUUGAGUACUUCAGGGGAGACUGGAAUUCCUGGUGUAGCGGUGAAAUGCGCAGAUAUCAGGAGGAACACCGGUGGCGAAGGCGGGUCUCUGGGAAGUAACUGACGCUGAGAAGCGAAAGCGUGGGUAGCGAACAGGAUUAGAUACCCUGGUAGUCCACGCCGUAAACGGUGGGUACUAGGUGUGGGUUUCCUUCCACGGGAUCCGUGCCGUAGCUAACGCAUUAAGUACCCCGCCUGGGGAGUAC
rnacentral:rRNA from 1 species